rnacentral:rRNA from 1 species
UUUAAAGGGUGCGUAGGCGGGACAGUAAGUCAGUGGUGAAAGCCUGCAGCUUAACUGCAGAAUUGCCAUUGAAACUGCUGUUCUUGAGUACAGUUGAAGUGGAUGGAAUGUGUUAUGUAGCGGUGAAAUGCAUAGAUAUGACACAGAACACCGAUAGCGAAGGCAGUUCACUAAACUGUAACUGACGCUGAGGCACGAAAGCGUGGGUAGCAAACAGGAUUAGAUACCCUGGUAGUCCACGCCGUAAACGAUGAUUACUCGAUGUGUGCGAUAAACAGUACGCGUCCAAGCGAAAGUGUUUAGUAAUCCACCUGGGAAGUACGUCCGCAAGGAUGAAACUCAAGGGAAUUGACGGGGGCCCGCACAAGCGGAGGAGCAUGUGGUUUAAUUCGAUGAUACGCGAGGAACCUUACCUGGGCUUAAAUGCAGAACGACGUACUGGGAAACCAGUAUUUCUUCGGACGGACUGCAAGGUGCUGCAUGGUUGUCGUCAGCUCGUGCCGUGAGGUGUCGGGUUAAGUCCCAUAACGAGCGCAACCCUUAUCUUUAGUUGCCAGCAUGUAAUGAUGGGGACUCUAAAGAAACUGCCUACGCAAGUAGUGAGGAAGGUGGGGAUGACGUCAAAUCAGCACGGCCCUUAUGUCCAGGGCUACACACGUGCUACAAUGGCUGGUACAGAGGGCAGCUACCUGGUAAUUGGAUGCUAAUCUCUAAAACCAGUCUCAGUUCGGAUUGAAGUCUGCAACUCGACUUCAUGAAGUUGGAUUCGCUAGUAAUCGCAUAUCAGCAACGAUGCGGUGAUACGUUCCCGGGCACUUGUACACACCGCCCGUCAAGCCAUGGAAGUUGGGGGUACCUGAAGUCGAUAACCGUAAGGAGUCGCACUAGGGUAAACCAAUGACUGGGGCUAAGUCG